CUCUGUUGCCACCACCAUCUAGAGUGAGACGAGCCACAGUGUUACAGGCUCCAGCCUCCAGCUCCCCCUUCUCCUGGUCCUCUAAGCCGGGAACAGAGUAGCUUGGCUGGAGAUACUGGAGAGCCUAAACUGGCAUGAGGCCUCCUCAGCAUGCACGUGGGGUUACGCACAUGGUUUCUGGACUACAUGUUCCGAUUGGGUGAGAGAAAACCUCUAGGCCUUCUCUGAUUGGACUUUAUUUUCAUACUCUGAUUGGUUGUCCUAAGACUUUCUUUCAUCCAAUCAGAACAUGAUAACAAAGUCCAAUCAGAGUAGGCCUCCGGGCUUUCUCUUAUCCAAUCCUGGAACGUGUAGUCCAGGAAAGGCAUAUUCAUAACCUCAGUACAUAAAUGGUGCUGAAGAAGAGUCAGGCUAUUCCAGGUUCUUCUGUAUCUGCUCACCGAGCUGCUCUGAGCCCGGCUUAGAGGACCAGGACAGACUGGAGGCUGUAGCCUGUGGCACCAUGGCUGGCCUCCCUGCAGUUGGUGGUGACAGAGACUGUAGUGUGGCUGGAGCGGUAGGAAAGGGAAAAUAGUUUUGGGAUAGAUGAAAGGGUAAAGAGGGUGGUUAGUGCCAAAAGGAAAAAAGGAUGGUGAGCUGGAGAAGGCAUUGCAUAAAGAUGGUAAUUUGGCCCUUUGUUUGAGCCCAUCAUCUGGGAGGUGAGUAACGCCUCUGCCCGGCCACCUUGUCUGGGAAGUGGGGAGCCCCUCUGCCCAGCCACCCCAUCUGGGAGGUGAGGAGUGCCUCUGCCUGGCCACCCAAUGUCUGGGAGGUGAGGAGUGCCUCUUCCCGGCUGCCCCAUCUGGGAGGUGAGGAGCGCCUCUGCCCGGCCACCCCCUCUGGGAAGUGAGGAGCGCCUCUGCCCGGCAGCCCUGUCUGGGAAGUGAGGAGCGCCACUGCCUGGCUGCCCCGUCUGGGUUGUGAGGAGCACCUCUGCCUGACCGCCACCCCAUCUGGGAAGUGGGGAGCGCCUUUGCCCAGCUGCCCCGUCUGGGAAGUGAGGAGCACCUUUCUCCUGCUGCCCAUCAUCUGGGAGGUGAGGAGCGCCUCUGCAUGGAUGACACACCAUCUGGGAAGUGAGGAGCGCCUCUGCCCAGCCGCCCCAUCUGGGAAGUGAGGAGUGCUUCUGCCUGGCCGCCCAUUGUCUGGGAGGUGAGGAGCGCCUCUGCCCGGCCACCCUGUCUGGGUUGUGAGGAGCGCCUCUGCCCAGCUCCCACCCUGUCUGGGAAGUGGGGAGCGCCUCUUCCCGGUCGCCCCAUCUGGGAGGUGAGGAGUGCCUCCCUCCAGCUGCCCAUCAUCUGGUAGGUGAGGAGUGCCUCUGAAUGGACGACACACAAUCUGGGAACUGAGGAGCGCCUCUGCCUGGCCGCGCCAUCUGGGAAGUGAAGAGCGCCUCUGCCCGGCCGCCCCAUCUGGGAAGUGAGGAGCGCCUCUGCCUGGCUGCCCAUCAUCUGGGAGGUGAGGAGCACCUCUCCCCAGCCACCCAUUGUCUGGGAGGUGAGGAGUUCCUCUGGCUGGCCGCCCGGUCUGGCAGUUGAGCGCCUCUGCCCGGCCACCCCCUCUGGGAAGUGAAGAGCGCCUCUGCCCAGCCUCCCCAUCUGGGAGGUGAGGAGCGCCUCUGCCCGGCUGCCCCAUCUGGGAGGUGAGGAGCGCCUCUGCCUGACCUCCACCCCAUCUGGGAAUGGGGAGUGGCAUUUCUCGGCCGCCCCAUCUGGGAAGUGAGGAGCACCUUUCUCUGGCUGCCAAUCAUCUGGGAGGUGAGAAGCGCCUCUUCACGGAUGACACACCAUCUGGGAAGUGAGGAGCGCCUCUGCCUGGCUGCCCCAUCUGGGAAGUGAGGAGCACCUCUUCCUGGUCUCCCCGUCUGGGAGGUGAGGAGCGCCGCUGCCCGGCCACCCCAUCUAGGAGGUGAGGAGCGCCUCUGCCCAGCCACCCCAUGUGGGAGGCGAGGAGCGCCUCUGCCUGGCCGCCCAGUCUGGGAGGUGAGGAGCGCCUUUGCCCAGCUGCCCAUCAUCUGGGAGGUGAGGAGCGCCUCUGCCAGCCCGCCCCAUCUGGGAGGUGAGGAGCGCCUCUUCCUGGUCUCCCCGUCUGGGAGGUGAGGAGCGCCUCUGCCCGGCCACCCCAUCUAGGAGGUGAGGAGCGCCUCUGCCCGGCCACCCCAUGUGGGAGGCGAGGAGCACCUCUGCCUGGCCGCCCAGUCUGGGAGGUGAGGAGCGCCUUUGCCCAGCUGCCCAUCAUCUGGGAGGUGAGGAGUUCCUCUGCCAGGCCGCCUCAUCUGGGAGGUGAGGAGCGCCUCUGCCCAGCCGCCCCGUCUGGGAAGUGGGGAGCACCUCUGCCUGGCCGUGAUGUCUGGGAGGUGAGGAGUGCCUCUGCCUGGCCACCCCGUCUGGGAAAUGAGGAGCACCUCUGCCUGGCUGCCCAUUGUCUGGGAGGUGAGGAGCCCCUCUGCCUGGCUGCCCCCCCUGGGAGGUGAGGAGCACCUCUGCCCAGCCGCCCCGUCUGGGAGGUGAGGAGUGCCUCUGCCCGGCCACCCAUCGUCUGGGAUGUGAGGAGUGCCUCUGCCUGGCUGCCCUUCGUCUGGUAGGUGAGGAGUGCCUCUUCCCAGCCGCCCCAUCUGGGAAAUGAGGAGCACCUCUUGCCUGGUUGCCCCAUCUGGGAAGUGAGGAGCGCCUCUGCCCAGCUGCCCCAUCUGGGAAGUGAGGAGCACCUCUGCCCAGCCGCCCCAUCUGGGAAGUGAGGAGUGCCUCUGCCUGGCUGCCCAUUGUCUGGGAGGUGAGGAGUGCCUCUGAAUGGACGACACACAAUCUGGGAACUGAGGAGCGCCUCUGCCUGGCCGCGCCAUCUGGGAAGUGAAGAGCGCCUCUGCCCGGCCGCCCCAUCUGGGAAGUGAGGAGCGCCUCUGCCUGGCUGCCCAUCAUCUGGGAGGUGAGGAGCACCUCUCCCCAGCCGCCCAUUGUCUGGGAGGUGAGGAGUUCCUCUGGCCGGCCGCCCGGUCUGGCAGUUGAGGAGCGCCUCUGCCCGGCCACCCCCUCUGGGAAGUGAAGAGCGCCUCUGCCCAGCCUCCCCAUCUGGGAGGUGAGGAGCGCCUCUGCCCGGCUGCCCCAUCUGGGAGGUGAGGAGCGCCUCUGCCUGACCUCCACCCCAUCUGGGAAUGGGGAGUGGCAUUUCUCGGCCGCCCCAUCUGGGAAGUGAGGAGCACCUUUCUCUGGCUGCCAAUCAUCUGGGAGGUGAGAAGCGCCUCUUCACGGAUGACACACCAUCUGGGAAGUGAGGAGCGCCUCUGCCUGGCCGUCCCAUCUGGGAAGUGAGGAGCACCUCUUCCUGGUCUCCCCGUCUGGGAGGUGAGGAGCGCCUCUGCCCGGCCACCCCAUCUAGGAGGUGAGGAGCGCCUCUGCCCGGCCACCCCAUGUGGGAGGCGAGGAGCACCUCUGCCUGGCCGCCCAGUCUGGGAGGUGAGGAGCGCCUUUGCCCAGCUGCCCAUCAUCUGGGAGGUGAGGAGCGCCUCUGCCAGGCCGCCUCAUCUGGGAGGUGAGGAGCGCCUCUGCCCAGCCGCCCCGUCUGGGAAGUGGGGAGCACCUCUGCCUGGCCGCGACGUCUGGGAGGUGAGGAGUGCCUCUGCCUGGCCACCCCGUCUGGGAAAUGAGGAGCACCUCUGCCUGGCUGCCCAUUGUCUGGGAGGUGAGGAGCCCCUCUGCCUGGCUGCCCCCCUUGGUAGGUGAGGAGCACCUCUGCCCAGCCGCCCCGUCUGGGAGGUGAGGAGUGCCUCUGCCCGGCCGCCCAUCGUCUGGGAUGUGAGGAGUGCCUCUGCCUGGCUGCCCUUCAUCUGGUAGGUGAGGAGUGCCUCUUCCCAGCCGCCCCAUCUGGGAAAUGAGGAGCACCUCUUGCCUGGUUGCCCCAUCUGGGAAGUGAGGAGCGCCUCUGCCCAGCCGCCCCAUCUGGGAAGUAAGGAGCACCUCUGCCUGGCCGUUGUGCAAUCUUCCAAGUGUGAAGUGACAGCCUUUCUGCAGGUGUACCCAACAGCUUCGAAGAGACAGCCACCAUCGGGAACGGACCAUGAUGAUGAUGGCAGUUUUGUCAAAAAGAAAAGAGGGAAAUGUGGGGAAAAGGAAGAGAGAUCAGAUUGUUACUGUGUCUGUGUAGAAAGAAGUAGACAUAGGAGACUCCAUUUUCUUCUGUACUAAGAGAAAUUCUUCUGCCUUGGGAUGCUGUUAAUCUAUAACCUUACCCCCAACCCCGUGCUCUCUGAAACAUGUGCUGUGUCAACUCAGGGUUAAAUGGAUUAAGGGCGGUGCAAGAUGGGCUUUGUUAAACAGAUGCUUGAAGGCAGCAUGCUCAUUAAGAGUCAUCACCACUCCCUAAUCUCAAGUACCCAGGGACACAAACACUAUGGAAGGCUGCAGGGACCUCUGCCUAGGAAAACCAGAGACCUUUGUUCACGUGUUUAUCUGCUGACCUUCUCUCCACUAUUAUCCUAUGACCCUGCCACAUCCCCCUCUCCAAGAAACACCCAAGAAUGAUCAAUAAAUAAUAAUAAAAAAAGCAUAGUGCAUCACCCCAAGGGUAGAGCGUGUGUGUGUGUGUGUGUGUGUGUGUGUGUGUGUGUGUGUGUGUGUGUUCGUGGAUAGUUUCUCCUAGCUAACCAUAAGACAGGAACUUGGAGUCUUGGGACAGGAAGAGAGAAAAGAGGGGAGAAAGUAUCCUGAACCAAGUAUAGAGUUGUCAAUCUCUUAACUAGAAGGUUCAAUAGUUGGGAUUUAUUUCCACAAAACAAGGAAAUUUGUGUUUUUAUAAUUAUAAAAAAGUGUUCCUGUCUGUCUAGGCUUGUACCUAAAUGGGAGACUAUAAACUCUAUUGUCCAGUAUUUUACUGAAAACUAUGUAUGACACUCUGCAGUCCAUUGUGACAUUCCUACAGCCAAGAAAAAUAACUGAAAACACUGAACGUGUCAGGGAUUCAUGAUAAGGAUUCAUUUCUGGAGCAAAGACUGGUCUUGUGAAGAAAGGACCUGUCCCCUUCUCAUGCAUGGGAUUCUACCCCCAUCCCACACACCAGAAGCACUGCCAGGACAUCUCUGCACUAUGCUGUGAGGUGGGUGGUUUAGGGUACCAUUGUUAUAUGACUUUUAUCAUUUUAGUUCUGUACAUCCUAUCUUGGGAAGUAAAUUUUUGGUUAUUUCUUUUCAUUUUACCUUUUCUUCUUGUUUAACUUUAAAAUGGAAAAAGAAGCAAAUGUUCACAAUAAACUUUACUGUUUAAUCUGAAAAAAAAAAGAAAAACAUUGCAGAAUGAUAGCCACAGUUUUAAAAAUAAGCACAUUAUAAAGAUAAUAAAAUUGUAAUAAAACUAAUUAUAAUGAACAUAUAAAAGAAGUCUUCCUGUGGAUAUUAGUAUCAUAAAACAAUUUAUAUUAUUUAACCAGUUAUAGACUCACUGUUGGCAUGUUACAUUUAACACACACUUGACUUUUGAUUUGAAAUCAUUUCCUCAUUAAAUCCUGUAUCUCACCUUUGAGAUUAAUGUGAUAAUGUGAUGUAGCCUCUAUUGAUGCCUCAGAGAGUGAGAAUGUGAUGUAACCUUUAGUGAAGCCUCACACUGUUUAUUAAGAUCCGCCAAUUUUUUUUGAAGUUGUCUCACAAUGACCUGAAAAGACAUGUUUUUGAUUUUGUGAAUCAUCUUAUCAAAUUAACAAUAUUUACUUUCAAAAAGAUCCCCAAAUAUAUUGAUUCAGUUUAUUUUCUUCAUUUGUGCACACUGCUGCUUGUUAGUGAAUUUACUUAAGGACACAAGAAGGUGUAAUCUUUCUGCCAAAUUGGUACUGUCUUACUAGACACAAGAUUCAUCUCACUGGUAAUUUCUUCCCUUAAUGAAUCUGUAAUUCUUCACAACUUACUGAAGUCUCAAAAAAAAAAAAAAGGCAGGACUAGUGGUGGUAAAUUCUAAACAGUGGAAUUCUUUCCUUCUUCUGUAUUAGAAGCACAAAUCAACAUCAAAGUUCCUCACAUAUUCAAUCACCUGCUGAAAUUUUUCCAAUAGAUUUUUAUCUCAGAAUAAAAGUAAUUUUAUUUCAAACUUUACAGGCCCUUGGUAACCUGGUCUCCACAUCCCUCCUGACCUCAGCUCCUAUGUUUCUCUCCUCUACUCACUUCUUUUGUACUAUACAUGAACCUUGCCACCCCUUAUGAAUUGAAAAAUGGGGAUCCAAUGCAAAGCUAAUAAAUCACAGAUAGCUACAAUCAUCUUUCUGUGGGACAAAGUUCUAUCCACAUGAUAGUUUUUGAGCCUUGAAAUAGAAAUUAUGAGCAAAUGAUUUGUAACAAUAUUCAAAAUAAAUUAUGAAUACCAGUGGGGUGAUUAAAUCAAAUUUGAUAUUGCUAAAAUCCACUACAUUUGUCCUAAGGUAUUAUUUAACAAAACACAGAUGCCUUUAAAAAAUUGAGAGGUUUUAACAAUACAUAAUUUCAGAUUCAAAUAUGUUCAGAUUAAGUCAAAUUGACAUAAAUGAAAAUAAAAUUCUACCAAAUAAAAUAUAUAAAAAGCUACUUAAAAAGUGUUAUUACAAGAUGCAGAAAUGUACACUUCAAAAUAUACUUCAAAUACACUUCUGUUCCUCUGGAAAAUUUAGAAUUAACUGUCAAUGUAAAUUGCUGAACUGAAUCUUAAUUUCAAAAUACUAAUUGCUGAUAUGGGCAUUCCCAUUUUUCUGCUUCAUUGUAGUCAAAAAAUGUGGCCACAAAGAGACAUUAAAACCUUUAUUUCAG
rnacentral:lncRNA from 10 species